GACGAACGCUGGCGGCGUGCUUAACACAUGCAAGUCGAACGGAAAGGCCCUGCUUUUGUGGGGUGCUCGAGUUGCGAACGGGUGAGUAACACGUGAGUAACCUGCCCUUGACUUUGGGAUAACUUCAGGAAACUGGGGCUAAUCCCGGAUAGGAGCUCCUGCUGCUUGGUGGGGGCUGGAAAGUUUCGCCGGUUGGGGAUGGACUCGCCGGUUAUCAGCUUGUUGGUGGGGUAGUGGCUUGCCAAGGCUUUGACGGGUAGCCGGCCUGGGAGGGUGACGGGGCAGAUGGGGUGUGAGUGAGGGCCCGGACAGAAUCGUGGGGCAGGGGGGGGAAGUAGAUCAUAGAGGGCGGAAGCCGGAUGGAGCAAGGCCGGGUGCGGGAGAACGGCCGUCGGGUGGGAAAGCGCGUUCGCCUGUGCCGAAGCGUGAUGAACGUAACUGGAGAAAAAGGCACGGCUAAAUUCGGG
rnacentral:rRNA from 1 species